rnacentral:rRNA from 1 species
CUCAUUAAAUCAGUUAUCGUUUAUUUGAUAGUACCUUACUACUUGGAUAACCGUGGUAAUUCUAGAGCUAAUACAUGCUAAAAACCCCGACUUCGGGAGGGGUGUAUUUAUUAGACAAAAAACCAAUGCCCUCCGGGGCUCCUUGGUGAAUCAUGAUAACUUAACGAAUCGCAUGGCCUUGCGCCGGCGAUGGUUCAUUCAAAUUUCUGCCCUAUCAACUUUCGAUGGUAGGAUAGUGGCCUACCAUGGUAUCAACGGGUAACGGGGAAUUAGGGUUCUAUUCCGGAGAGGGAGCCUGAGAAACGGCUACCACAUCCAAGGAAGGCAGCAGGCGCGCAAAUUACCCAAUCCCGACACGGGGAGGUAGUGACAAUAAAUACUGAUACAGGGCUCUUUUGGGUCUUGUAAUUGGAAUGAGUACAAUUUAAAUACCUUAACGAGGAACAAUUGGAGGGCAAGUCUGGUGCCAGCAGCCGCGGUAAUUCCAGCUCCAAUAGCGUAUAUUAAAGUUGUUGCAGUUAAAAAGCUCGUAGUUGAACCUUGGGCCUGGCUGGCCGGUCCGCCUCACCGCGUGCACUGGUCCGGCCGGGCCUUUCCUUCUGGGGAUCCCCAUGCCCUUCACUGGGUGUGGCGGGGAACCAGGACUUUUACUUUGAAAAAAUUAGAGUGUUCAAAGCAGGCCUUUGCUCGAAUACAUUAGCAUGGAAUAAUAGAAUAGGACGUGCGGUCCUAUUUUGUUGGUUUCUAGGACCGCCGUAAUGAUUAAUAGGGAUAGUCGGGGGCAUCAGUAUUCAAUUGUCAGAGGUGAAAUUCUUGGAUUUAUUGAAGACUAACUACUGCGAAAGCAUUUGCCAAGGAUGUUUUCAUUAAUCAGUGAACGAAAGUUAGGGGAUCGAAGACGAUCAGAUACCGUCGUAGUCUUAACCGUAAACUAUGCCGACUAGGGAUCGGGCGAUGUUAUUAUUUUGACUCGCUCGGCACCUUACGAGAAAUCAAAGUCU